rnacentral:rRNA from 1 species
AGAAGCAAUAAUGUUAAUAUGAGUAACAAGAAAAUUUUCUCCCUGCAUGAGUGUAUAUCAGAACGAAUGAUGCACUGGUAGUUAACAAAUAUAGACAUAACUAGCUAACUAAAAUCUUAAUACAACUGUUAGUCCAACACAGGCAUGCACCCAGGAAAGAUAAAAGAAGUAAAAGGAACGGC